ACCUCGGACUAGAUUUCCCGGGAAGCUGCACACGAGGCAUCGUGGGACAGUCCACGACAUGGCACUACAAGGGAAGGCGACCGCCACGCUGGUGGGGGAGCCUGUCAUCGCUGCAAAAUGAAAUGCGUGCUGAACUGGUUACAUGCAGCUAGCCAUAUGCUAGUUGAGCCUUCUGGCAAGAGGCUGUAUUUACUCCACGGGAAACAGUAUCUUAAAAGUGCAGGAUGUUUUAUUGGAAGACCAAAUGCACAGAUCUGGAAGACUGCUCCACAACUGAUUCCGUCCAACAGAACUGGAAAUAGCUCGUGUGUCUUAGUUAUCCAGAGGAGCUCACUGUUCAUAUGGACUACAGAACCAUUGGCAGCCACCAUAUCUUUGGAUAAAAGAACAGAAAAAUAAUGUUGGAGUUUUAGAGAAAAUGCAACAGCUCACCCAGAACUUGCCCAAACAUGUUCUUCUGUGUUUGCUUUAUCGACUCAGACUAAAUUGCUCUAAAUUUGCUCUAAGUUGCUUCCAGACUAAAUUGCUCCACAGUUCAAGCUGCCUCAUUACAGAAGUUCUCCUGUUUUGCAAAAUCUUCAUCCAUCAAUGCUGAGCUCAUUGUAUCAUAUUAGUGCCUAUUAACAUGAGGCAGAUAUGGUGCUAUGGAUACAGCACUGCAAUGGUUGUCAGUUCUCUGGUCUUCUCUUCAGGCCAGCUAGCAAUGGAUGUCUUUCUGAUAUUUCUCUCAGUAACAUGAAAAUACUACUGCAGCUCCAUUUUAAAGCAUUUUGAGCUGCUCACGAGUGAAAUCCUAGCCUGAUUAAUCAUAACAUCGCUUUAAAUGCACAGCACACUACAUGAGGAAGAAGAACAUUAAGCAAAAGGCAGGAACCACAAUGGGAUGAGUUUUGGAUCACAACGAUGUUAGGUUUGGAUUUUUAGCUCUAAUCCUGUGGCAGUCUAAGGCAUUUACAGACCUUGCCUUAAAGAACAGAAGACCUGUCCUGCACAGUACCAGUUCCUGUGAUUUGCACGGUGCCUGUGGAAGGCUGUCACUGAAGCCAAUUAAGAAAAAAAAAAUUGAAAACUCUAUAAAGGUGUUUGGAAAGUCAGAAAUAAAUCCUACCUGUCAUUUCUUACUCAGUUGAGCUAGCAAAUCAUGAUGUUCGCUCAUUACCACCCUUGCACACUGCAGCAAGAGAAAGAUCUAGCACUGGAGAGCAAGGAUUGCACGUCACUUUGAGAACUGUGAUUAGCUCAAGUCUUAAGUAAAUAAGUUUGAAGCUGACAGUUCACUCAAUACUGUAAAGCCACUAAGCAUAGCUGGCACAUGCUGUCAUCACUGGCAGUAGAGGCUUAGGGGGAGUGAGCAAGGAGACUGAAUUACGACUCCUCCUGCAGACAGGGUGAACCGCUGAGGCCACAGCUGAGAUCACUGGCUAGACACCGCGGAGGAGCGGGCGCAUGAGGCCAUUGUACAGGGCGCAGAGACAAAGAAAGUACUUCUGUGAACAAGGGAUUAACACUUUCCCAAGCAUGGGCCAAAACACAUGUGGAUUUCAUCCAUGAAGUCUGGUUUUGUGGCUCUCGCGUGUUUUACCUUUGUAAGAAAAAGGUACUGCCUGUGUCUUGUUAACAUUGACUCCUGGGUGACCAGCCUAAGUCCCUUACCUUCUCCUUUCUCAUUCUCCCGCCCAGCUCGCUUUAGAUAAUUUUCUCCACAUGGGGAUGUUUUGGAUAUUCAUUUUUAAAAUAUAAACUAUUAACUAUCAUUAUGACACUUGGGCUGCUAAUUACUGCUUGUAUUGUGUCUCUGAGCCUUAAAGAAAUACUAAGAAAAUAGAGACUAUCUAGCAGUAUUCAUUAUCUCAAGAUGUGGUCCCUGUGAUCCAGCCAUUUUUAUGCAUACCAUUCAAUAAAGCAUUAGCUUAAAUUUAAAGUCAGCUUUAGCUUCCUUAAGUCAUAGUUCUGUCAUGUCAUUGCCACAUUAAUUUUCAGAACAGCAAAGCUUUACACUGUUCAUCUAAGUAUAUAAAUGUAUUAUUUUGGUCAUAGACUGUACAUCUUUCAUGGGUACUAGUUUACAUAGAUCUGUCAGGAGCUUUUACUGGACUGUAACAGAAACCCAUCUAAAAGUAAUUUAUUAACAUUUUGAGGCUAUCUGAAGGCCACAGGUAAUCAAGAUUUGAGGCAAAAAGAGGUGGAUGUUUGUUUGAAGGAGACAGAAUUUGAUCAGCCUUGAAACUAUUGGGGCCAAAAACCUUCCUAGCAGGCACAGGAGGCUCCUGCUGCCAGUUAUUAAAAAUUACAGCUCUGAAAACUGACAUGCAGAAGGUGCAGGUUCAUCUGAUUGUUUUCAAAUCUCACAUGCCAGUGACUGACAAAUGAUUUAAAAGUCUUCAGAAACUUAGAAAGGGAUAAGUCAAAAGAUUUAAAGCCCCAGAUGCUGAAGUCAGAUGACCUUAUGAGGCACUUUGUUUUCAUUAAAAAGUCUAGUCCUCAUGAUUGCCUGCAGUCAAAAUGUUUGAAUUUCAGAGAGCAAAAACAUUCCUGAUUCGUUGCAUUUUAAAUUUAAUCUCCUGGUUUUGGCUGUUAUUUUUGUAUAUGUGGGGUUGGUCGAAUGAGGUACUCAUGGACCCAGUCAAUCAGUAGGUCUUUCUUUCAUCAUGAAGGCUGAGGGAAUUGUCAUCACCAACAUUAAAGUCUAAAUGCCACUUAGCUGAGAUUUACAAGGUGGAAGAAUUAGAAGUCUCCUUUGCUCAAAGUUGUAUGUUCAAUCCUUUCUCAGAAAACACUGAAUUUUUGUCUUUUUCCUUGAAAUGUGAAAGUUUUCAUUUUUCAUAGAACAUAAAAUCAAACAUUCUUUCAUUCCUGACCCAUAUUUAUAGUAGGUCAAGUAAUUAUGAAUGAAAAUGCCAGUUUGCUUAUACGAAUUCUGUUUAUGACAGAGAUUAACUUAAGAAAUUUGUACUCCUGGCAUCUUAUUAAUACUGUUCUGCUGUAAAAUUCCUCAGGCAACAGGCAAAAUAAUGACUUAAAACUCAAACAGGAUAAUUACCUUACAAUGCAGGCAUUUUGAAGAUGGAGUUAGCUCUGGAUUUUACAAUACAAUUUGUUAGGACCUUAUCCUCUAUAGAAAAGGGUGCAAAACAUUCACAAUUACCUUAAUUUAUUUCCAUGACAUUUUGGUUUAGAUCCAAUCAAUUCCUAGUACAUUAAGGAAAAUCGUGUCAUUAUUCAAUAACAGAAUUUAGCUAUUCAAAGCAGUUUUCUUAACAUUUAAUUUUGAAAAUGUAAGUCUUCAAAUCUUAGCACAGUGAAUUUCUUUCUGUGGUCAAACACUUUGAUUUAUACAAUAUCUUUAUUGUAUCUAGCGUGCCAAGAUGCUCUGAUGAAUGAAAGAAAUGGACACGCUAAGAACAACCCAUUGACUCCCAGCUUAAAGCACCGUGUUCCUCUGAAAAAAGAGCGAUGUGCUUGCCUACAUAAGGACAUAGAGGAAGGUUUUCUAAAUGCAACUCUAAAGCAGAUUAGAUAAACUACAUCUAAAUCCUAAGUGGACACACUUCAGAAUUCAUUGAUUUGGUUUAGCUUCCUUCGCUUCCAAGUGGAAGUAAACAAAGUUCAUUCUGUUUAGCUAUAAUCCACAUAAACAUCACAGGUGAAGAUAACUAACUUUCUUGAAUGUUCCUUUUUAAGUAUACCUGAUGUAACAAUAGCAUAACAGAUGAAUUCAACAGAUGAAUCUCCUUUCUGAGUGGAGCAGCUCCUCAGACUCCUGCAACAGGAGAAGAUCUUUAUAUUGCGUUUCAUCCUUCCUUAGUCCUGCCAAGCCAAUGCAUACAAGAGGGAACAUUCUGGGUUCUCUGUACAUAGCUAGAAUUUUUUUACCGGCCAAGCUGCUGAAGAUUAUAAAGCUACUCAGGACUAAUUUAACAUGGGAACGUUUGUUAUUCAUGAAGAUGCACAAGAAGAUGGAAAUAUUUCACUAUAAACCUGCUUUUUUGUGUUCCAGCUCCACAAAACUGAAAAACUUGCCCUAACCAGGCAGCCUGGAGAAAAUUUACAUGAAUCUCUCAUUGUUAAUUUUAAGUCUUUGACAUCAUGUACACGUAAGGUGCUUACCCUUGUCAUUUCCUCACUGAACUCCAACAUGAGCAUGACUUAGCUGGACCUGGUCAGAGCUCCUAUUUCUGUUUGCAGAAAAAUAUUGUUUUUUGUUUUUUGUCUGAAAACUAAGCCAGACUAAGCAAUGAGGACAGUCUUUCAGAAACAGAAACAUUAAUCAGACGGGCACUUAAGGACACUGAUACAGAUGCUUGCUCUUGGACACCAACAUGUGGUGAGGGCAAUCCAGAAAAUGGGAACACAGAAACAAAAGUCAAUUACCUCCCUGAAGUAUACUUUGCCCUCUCUGCAAAGAGAUGUAAUCUCGGCAAAGGAAAGGUUGAUCUGGGGAAAAAAACAAAAAAGAAAAAAAUCCACACCCUAAAAUUAGUCUUAA